UACGUAGGGUGCGAGCGUUAAUCGGAAUUACUGGGCGUAAAGCGUGCGCAGGCGGUUCGUUGUGUCCGUCGUGAAAGCCCCGGGCUUAACCUGGGAAUGGCAUUGGAUACUGGCGAUCUAGAGUGCGGUAGAGGGCAGUGGAAUUCCCGGUGUAGCAGUGAAAUGCGUAGAGAUCGGGAGGAACAUCUGUGGCGAAGGCGACUGCCUGGACCAGCACUGACACUGAGGCACGAAAGCGUGGGGAGCAAACAGG
rnacentral:rRNA from 1 species